rnacentral:rRNA from 1 species
UCUAGAUUAGAGUUUGAUCCUGGCUCAGGACGAACGCUGGCGGCGUGCCUAAUACAUGCAAGUCGAGCGUGAUUAAAGAUAGCUUGCCAUUUUUAUGAAGAGCGGCGAACGGGUGAGUAACGCGUGGGAAAUCUGCCGAGUAGCGGGGGACAACGUUUGGAAACGAACGCUAAUACCGCAUAACAAUGAGAAUCGCAUGAUUCUUAUUUGAAAGAAGCAAUUGCUUCACUACUUGAUGAUCCCGCGUUGUAUUAGCUAGUUGGUAGUGUAAAGGACUACCAAGGCGAUGAUACAUAGCCGACCUGAGAGGGUGAUCGGCCACACUGGGACUGAGACACGGCCCAGACUCCUACGGGAGGCAGCAGUAGGGAAUCUUCGGCAAUGGGGGCAACCCUGACCGAGCAACGCCGCGUGAGUGAAGAAGGUUUUCGGAUCGUAAAACUCUGUUGUUAGAGAAGAACGUUAAGUAGAGUGGAAAAUUACUUAAGUGACGGUAUCUAACCAGAAAGGGACGGCUAACUACGUGCCAGCAGCCGCGGUAAUACGUAGGUCCCAAGCGUUGUCCGGAUUUAUUGGGCGUAAAGCGAGCGCAGGUGGUUUCUUAAGUCUGGUGUAAAAGGCAGUGGCUCAACCAUUGUGUGCAUUGGAAACUGGGAGACUUGAGUGCAGGAGAGGAGAGUGGAAUUCCAUGUGUAGCGGUGAAAUGCGUAGAUAUAUGGAGGAACACCGGAGGCGAAAGCGGCUCUCUGGCCUGUAACUGACACUGAGGCUCGAAAGCGUGGGGAGCAAACAGGAUUAGAUACCCUGGUAGUCCACGCCGUAAACGAUGAGUGCUAGCUGUAGGGAGCUAUAAGUUCUUGUAGCGCAGCUAACGCAUUAAGCACUCCCCUGGGGAGUACGACCCAAGGUUGAAACUCAAAGGAAUUGACGGGGGCC